rnacentral:rRNA from 1 species
GCAAAUCGUGUGCCACAGGGCGGCGAAAUGCGAUGGGUACGGGCGUGGUUCAGAAUUAUUAGGCGGAAAGGUCAAGGAGGCGGGUAGUCGCGACGGGGAGCAAAAUUCAGGGGUCAACCCUGAGCGUGCUUCCGAUACGGGCUGACUAGAGGUAUGCAGGGGAGAACGUAAUUCCUGGUGUAGCGGUGGAAUGCGCAGAUAUCAGGAGGAACACCGGUGGCGAAGGCGGUUCUCUGGGCAUUACCUGACGCUGAGGAGCGAAAGCAUGGGGAGCGAACAGGAUUAGAUACCCUAGUAGUC